UGUAUAAUGCGCACCCCAGAUUUUAGGACAAUAAAUUAGUUAAAUUUUGCGCACUAUACACGGAAAAAAACGGUAGUCAAUGUAAAUCAGAAAUGGUGGAUUUUGCCAAUUUGAGCAGAUCUGCCAUUUCUCUGUCACAGAGGGAGUGCGGGAAAAAAACGGUAUAUUUUCUUUGUACCCAUGUAUAAUGCGCACCCCAGAUUUUAGGACAAUAAAUUAGUUAAAUUUUGCUUAUUAUACAUGGAAAAAAUCGGUAUUUACAUUUCCAUCCAUCCAUCCAUUUUCUGUACCGCUCUGUACCGGGGGUCGCGGGCGUGCUGGAGCCUAUACCAGCCGUCAUCGGGCAGUAGGCGGGGGACACCCUGAACUGGUUGCCAGCCAAUCGCAGGGCACACAGAGACGAACAACCAUCCUGUCAAGUGGCAUGGUGGUACGAGAUAGUGUAAAAUUAGGUAUUGAAUUUGGCCCACGCACAUUGGCUAUCCCAAAACAUGUAGUAGUUCAAAAUGUCACCAGGAGAUGGUGGUAAAGCUUGACAUAGGGGGGACCUGAUGGAAAUUAACAAAUCUAAUAAAUUAAAUUGUUAGCAAUUGGGAGGACACGACCUGUUCAAACACGUAGCAACGCACAAUUUUGGAAUAUGAGUUUGCUAUGCCAUAAUUGUAAAAUGUAACAGCUGGAGCAAUAUCAAUAUAUGUGUUUAAGUUGGAGGAACCCAUUAUUGUGUUAAGUACUAUCGUGUGUUGAGAUUGAUCUUUAUUAGACAAGAUAUAUGUGAUUCAUGUUGCAAUGUUUUGUCCAACCUGUAUUUAACAUUGGUGUUCCAUGUAUUAAGUUGAGAGGAGACAUUAAGGGCUAAUAGUAAAAGAAAGAACGAGCAAAACAGGAAACAUCUGCAUCCGCUGGUUGCUGCUUGAAGCAAGGUUGCCAAGACAACCGUGGUGCACCUACAUAUUACGAUGAGGUAAUGCCAGAAGCCUAUAAAUAUGUUGCCCGGACACAGAGCGGGCGCUUCUUCCUAGCCAGGGCGAUGGCCGUGACGCUGCCCGGAGUAAACGAACGAAGAUGGAUUUUUCAUUCUUUUUGAGAUUGAACCAAAAUCUACUAAGAUGAAUUUCCAGAGUCUUCGAAUUGGACUUUUUUUAAACAGAAUUCGGAUUUUGGAACAAAGGAGAGCCGAUCACUCGACUUGUUCAACCAAAUAGGAUUUUAGACCUUUAGUCUCCUCUUCUGUUCUGUGUGGGUGAGUCUUGUUUUUUGUUUUUUCGACUUGCAAUUCUUUUUCUUGCUUAUUCAUUAAAUCUCUUCUUGAGCCUUAAUUCGGUAUCGAUUAUUUCGUAUUAACUAUGUCGAGCAUGGUUUUAUAUGCGGUAAUUACAACUUUAAAAUGUCUUUAUUUCCCUAUCAUAGUCAUUCUUUAAAUCCGUUCAAUUCUUUUUAAAGUGAAGACAGCUUUAAUCCUUAACAUCAGGAAUUGUCAGAUCUGGUUCGAAGUAGUUAUCUUGAGCUCAGCUAGGGCGAGGGCGCUCUAGUAAAUUAACGAAUCCUUGAGGUCUUAACAAAGGCAUCUAAAAAAUAUCCGUAACGUAAUACCAGCAUCAAACAACCGAAGGGAGCCAUCAUUACGGCGCGGUCAUUUCGACGACUCGCCUCGAAUUGAGUUACUCGGCUCGCGCGUCGGAUGACUUGAAAGGGGUUUGCGUCGUAUAGAAAUUAGAUUGAUUCUAGUAGAAUUAAUUUAACUCGGGUGGUCAGCUACGGACGAGUCCCUUCGCCCCGGCUUAUUGAACCCGUUACUGGGGAGCCGGAGGCACUUCGAUAAAAAGUGCCCGUUUGACAGCAUUCACUUCAGUCUUAACCCUAACAAAAGCUUUGCUUACAAUCCAUGAAACGGAUGCAUCCACUACUUAUUUAUUUGUUUCUUUUUUAAUCAAUAACAACAACACAUUUGAGUGACUGUAGAAGGAAAACAAAAAGCACCUCUCAACAAAAAAAUAACAAUAGGAUUAUCGCUUCUGUUUGUUUGUCACGGUGGAUCAGGGAAUAUUUCACUUACAAAUAAAAGAGCUUAGAGACGAGACAUUAUCGGUCAAACGCCUCCACUGAUCAUUUGCAUAUUUUUAUUUUUUACGCAUUUGACUUCUUCUUUAAUUGCUCUCUUCAUAAUUGGGCACCACAACAACGAGUCACAUCAGAGUGGGUGGCCUUUCUGGAAAUUAACUCGUGGAAGGUUGCAGGAUGAGCUUUGGCAUGUCCACAGAAGCAAACAUUUUCUUGGCCUACCUUCUCAAGGACUUCUCAGGUGUCCUCUCAUCUGCCCCAGCACACAAGCAUUGCAACAGCAUGCACUUGGGUCUCUCUCUACCUGCAACAAAAAAUACUUUGGAGUACAGACAUAACACGUAAUGGGACAAUCAGCUUGCUAUGUGUGCGUGUCGACUCACCUGAUCACGCCACGGCGACUGUCAAACAUUGUCAAGAGGCUCUCGGAGGAAUGGCGCCAAGGUCUUGAGUUCCACGAUUUUUCACUAAUGAGGUGGCCUGUCACGUGGUACGCGAGUGUGAAAAGCGCCAUUGGAAGAGCAGGCAAGGAAGAUUUGAAUUGGCGGAUGUGAUGUCAUGAAUUGGGGACGGGGUGUGCUCAAGGGAAGUUGUCAUAUACAGGUGCGACACGCGGGCGGUUUCUCGGGAUUCAAGGAGAGUUAUCAAAUGCAGGCGCCACCGACCGCGUGGCGGUUUCUCGGGAUUCAAGGGGAAUUAUCAAAUACAGGCGCCACUGACCGUGUGGCGGUUUCUCGGCCAGCCACUUUUUCACCAUUUUGUUUGGAAGACCAGCUGACCAUCGAAGAGUAUUCACCACAAUUUUUGGCGUCACGAACAGUUCUCUUGUCCUUCGGGGAGCCCUCGCCUGCCUGGGUGCGAGCAUCGAGCGUCUGGCCGGCAGGCUGAGUUUGAGGCUAACAGGAGCAUGAGAAAGGAGAGCUGAGAAGCGGGAUCCACUUUGAUCGGGGAGAUUGGAAAUUCACAGCACCAUAUUCUAAGUCGCAUUUUUGAGCAAGCAUGACACAGAUGGCGCCCGCCCGCAUCAAACGUUUGCGAGCGUGAUUUUCUCCCGUUUUGGACGACUGCUCGAUUCAUGUCGCCAUUUUAGACGCUCAUAAAGGCCUCCCAGCCAGCACCCUUCUAUACAAAGCAAGCAGGAGGCUCCUGAGCCAUCACAGUGAUGUUGAGGAUGCUGAGGAAGAGUAGCCCCAAAUCAGGUUUUUUUGUAUGAAACCAGUGAGCAGGGUGACGCCGGUGAGAAGUCACAUCAUCGAACUCCCUGACGCAGAGCUGUGCUUUACCAUUAGCCAGACCAGGCAACUGCCUGGGGCAAGGCCACUAGGGGGCUCUCUUAUUUAUCCAUUUUUACAUUUGGCACUUGUCCCUUGUAUUCUUGCGCUCUCGUACGCUGCUGUGACAAGUACAUUUCCCUGUUGUGGAAUAAAUUUCCAUCAAUCAA